rnacentral:rRNA from 1 species
AAGAGAGUGCAAGAGAACGUGAAACCGUUAUAGUGGAAGCGGAUGGAGCCGACGUAUCCAGUACGUAUUCAGCCGUUGGCGGGUGUAAUCGACCGUUGUGGGGUUCUGCAAAGUCUCCCGGCGGUCUCUUUGCUCACGUCGACGGUGCAUUUGCGUACAGAGUGCGCCGAAUCGGUUGAGCACGCGGUUGGAAGCCGACGAAGAGGACCUCCCUUCGGGGUUGGAACCCUGCGUCUUGGCGGAUGACGGUCGAGCUUAGCUGCCCAUGGAGGCUGGCAUACGUUGCAAUUUUGGUCGACUAGGUCUGUUCGUGUACGACGCUUGCGUUUUGCGCUUGUGGGCCUGGUCGGUCGGGGUUGUUUCCCGGCCUCGAAUUCGGUGUUCAGUCGGUCACCCACCCGACCCGUCUUGAAACACGGACCAAGGAGUUUAAGGUGUACGCAAGUCAUUGAGCAUGCGGAAACUCAAAGGCGUAAUGAAAGUGGGCCACCCAGUGGCUGUGAUGCGACUCGGCGGGGAUUCGUCAACGUUGAGGCAGCAUCGACCCAUGACUGGGCCUCGGCCUGUUGUGGAGUCCGAGCGUACGCUUUGAGACCCGAAAGAUGGUGAACUAUGCCCGAACAGGACGAAGUCAGAGGAAACUCUGAUGGAAGUCCGAAGCGGUUCUGACGUGCAAAUCGAUCGUCUGAUUUGGGUAUAGGGGCGCCAGACUAAUCGAACCAUC